rnacentral:tRNA from 1 species
UCCUUUGUAGCUCAGUCGGUAAAGAAUUUGCCUGCAAUGCAGGAGACCUGGGUUUGAAUCCUGGAUUAGGAA